rnacentral:rRNA from 1 species
UACGGAGGGGACUAGCGUUGUCCGGAAUCAUUGGGCGUAAAGCGCGCGUAGGCGGCCCGGUAAGUCCGCUCUGAAAGUCCGGGGCUCAACCCUGGAAUGCGGGUGGAUACUGCCGGGCUAGAAUCCGGAAGAGGCGAGUGGAAUUCCUGGUGUAGCGGUGGAAUGCGCAGAUAUCAGGAGGAACACCAAUAGCGAAGGCAGCUCGCUGGGACGGUAUUGACGCUAAGGCGCGAAAGCGUGGGGAGCAAACAGG